UGUCAGGAUGUCUGAUCUCAGAGGAAGGCUUUGCUUAUCUGGCCUCAGCUUUGAGCUCCAACCCCUCCCAUCUGAGAGAACUGGACCUGAGCUACAAUCAUCCAGGAGACUCAGGAGUGAAGCUGCUGUCGGCUAGACUUAAGGAUCUAAACUGGAGACUGGACACUCUCAGGACGGACCAUGGUGGACCGCAGUGGUUGAGACCUGGACUGAGGAAGUACGUCUGUGAACUGGAACUGGACACAAACACAGUAUACAGCAAACUCAAACUGUCGACAACAACCGGAAGGUGACAAAUGUGGAGGAGGAUCAGUCAUAUCCUGAUCAUCCAGACAGAUUUGUAUCCAAUCCUCAGCUGCGGCGUAGAUAUGGUCUGACUGGUCGCUGUUACUGGGAGGUCGAGAGGAAACAAGAGGUUUAUAUAGCAGUGAGUUACAGAGGAAUCAGCAGGAGAGGAACCAGUGAUGACUGUGGGUUUGGGUGGAAUAAUCAGUCCUGGAGUCUGAGGUGCUCUGAUGGUGGUUACUCUGUCUGGCACAAUCACGUAAUAACAAACCUCACUUCCUCCUCUGUCUCUAACAGAGUAGCAGUGUAUGUGGACUGUCUUGCUGGCACUCUGUCCUUCUACACAGUCUCCUCUAACUCACUGAUCCACCUCCACACCUUCAACACCACAUUCACUCAACCUCUUUAUCCUGGGUUUAGGGUCUCCUCUGGAUCCUCAGUGUCUCUGUGUCCUCUGCA